rnacentral:lncRNA from 1 species
AUAGAAAAUAAAGGAAUAUGGAUUAAAUGUACAUGAGACAAAAUCACACAAAAUAUAUAGAAGAAAAAAAAAGAAUAAUGAAUGAACAGGAAUUUUAGAGUGUAGAGUCUUCAACAAUGAACAAAUCAUUCAUACUGCCCCUAAGGUUGACUUAAGCAGUACUAUUGAUAAAUAUAAACCACAGUUCACCAUCUUGGUCCCCA